GAGUAACGCGUAUGCAACCUACCCUUCACAGGGCGGAUAACCGGGAGAAAUUCCGACUAAUACCGCAUACGUCCUCCGGGGGCAUCCCCGGGGGAUGAAAGAGUUAUCGGUGAAGGAUGGGCAUGCGUGAUAUUAGGUAGUUGGCGGGGCAACGGCCCACCAAGCCCACGAUAUCUAGGGGUUCUGAGAGGAAGGUCCCCCACAUUGGUACUGAGACACGGACCAAACUCCUACGGGAGGCAGCAGUGAGGAAUAUUGGUCAAUGGACGAGAGUCUGAACCAGCCAAGUCGCGUGAAGGAAGACGGAUCUAUGGUUUGUAAACUUCUUUAGUGCGGGAACAAAGCGGCGUCGUGACGCCGGAUGAGUGUACCGCAAGAAUAAGCAUCGGCUAACUCCGUGCCAGCAGCCGCGGUAAUACGGAGGAUGCGAGCGUUAUCCGGAUUUAUUGGGUUUAAAGGGAGCGCAGGCUGCGAGGCGAGUCAGCGGUCAAAUGUCGGGGCUCAACCCCGGCCUGCCGUUGAAACUGUUUUGCUAGAGUUCGAGUGAGGUAUGCGGAAUGCGUUGUGUA
rnacentral:rRNA from 1 species